rnacentral:rRNA from 1 species
UACGAAGGGGGCUAGCGUUGUUCGGCAUCACUGGGCGUAAAGCGCACGUCGGCGGAUUUGUAAGUCAGGGGUGAAAUCCCGGGGCUCAACCUCGGAACUGCCUUUGAUACUGCAAGUCUCGAGUUCGGGAGAGGUGAGUGGAAUUCCUAGUGUAGAGGUGAAAUUCGUAGAUAUUAGGAAGAACACCAGUGGCGAGGGCGGCUCACUGGCCCGAUACUUACGCUGAGGUGCGAAAGCGUGGGGAGCAAACAGG